AAACGACUCUCGGCAACGGAUAUCUCGGCUCACGCAUCGAUGAAGAACGUAGCAAAAUGCGAUACUUGGUGUGAAUUGCAGAAUCCCGUGAACCAUCGAGUAUUUGAACGCAAGUUGCGCCCUAAGCCAUCCGGUUGAGGGCACGCCUGCCUGGGCGUCACG
rnacentral:rRNA from 1 species